CUCACCUGUGAGCUGUGACAUAUUUCUCAUCACUUAAUAAGGUGAUGGAGAAAGUUGUGAUUCCACAAAUAAAGAACGCUUUCAUGUGUCAUUACUCAUUAAUUAACACUUAUAACUAGAAAAAAAAAUCUUUCUCUCUGGCACUUACUUUUAAAAUUCAGCCCACUCAAGUGUUUUUUUCUAUCUGCCUAUUUCUUCCUGGCUUUGAUGUGAGGAAGUUCUGCAUUUUGCAGAAGACAUCAAGUCAAAAAACUGAGCCGGAGUGAUUCACUGGAGAGAACGAGAGAGGGGGGAAAAGGAGAAAAGAACAAAAGUGUACACCUCUGCAUGUUUCCUUUCACUUCAGUUUGUCUGUCAUCCAGUGCACUUCCUGUCAUUGCAUUGCUGAAGUUUGACAUGGACCACUCGCUGCAGCUGGUGGUGCUUUUUCUGGGCCUUCUUUUAAAUACAGAUGUGUCUCUCCAAAAACCAUCUGAUGUGUCAUCCACAUCCAAACCAUCAAAUGUGUCCGCCACACCUGUGUCCACCCAUCAUCCCGCAGCCCAAUCACCAAGGACAAGCCCAGAGGUCAUAACCUCUCCACCACUCCGUGAGGUGGUCCUGGUGACAGUGGCAUGGGAGAAGAAUAAUCCAUGCGAGGGGCCUGUCCACCUCACCCUGCCUAGAGGUCGAAAAGAACCGAAAAGAAGAAUCUGCUUCGAAAGCCCCUACAAGGAACACUUUGAAGGCCUCUGUCCACAGACGAAUUGUGGAGGGUUCAAGAAAUGGGAAGCCUCUGAGUCUGGGAGCUUUCAGUAUGUUGAUGACCAUGGUACAGUGACAGUCAGAGAGAAUUGCACUGCACUCGUAAUUCAGUGUACAGGGGUUACGAAGACACGCAAAUCCAAGCCAUCUGAAGCAGGCUACAGUGGGGAGCUGGCUGCAUAUAAGGCCAUCACAGGUCUGCUUCUUGUACUGGUGCUGGCUGUUCUCCUCCAGCGCUACGGGAGACCUACAUACGCCGCCAUCCGCCAAAGACUGUCACAGAAAAGGCAGUCGCGAUGGGUUGGCCCUACGCAGAGUCAAAGUGUUCACUAUCAUAGAGAACAACAGGCCGGACUUCAUCCCAACAACAACACGUCCAAGAGACACUCCUAUCCAGCAGCCUUGGAAAAGCUCACAGUGUCAUCAAGCAGAGAGCCUUCGUCUAACCGGAAUAGCGACUAUUCAUACAAUUAAAUUAAAACCUUUUUGUCUGUUGUCAUCAUCGCCACCAAACUGUUAUUCAUCUGCCCCCCAUAUUGCCCUUCUUUCACAUUUUUACUGUGCUUUUUUUGUUUUACUUUUUGAUAAUGACUGCCAGGUACAUAAAAGUAUAUUUCUUUGAAUUGCAUUUUCUCAAAUAAAGUAACUUUUUGAGACAACACGAACCACGUUGCAUAAAACAGUUUCUCACACAGAUUGAAUCACAAACUUCCAAGCUGUGAAACUAAGACAGGGAGAGGCUUUGAGGAGGAGGGUGUAGGAAUGCAGACUCUUGCAGAUGUGUGGUUUCCUGCCGCGUUUUCUGUCGUCUUCCUGUUUGUGUUAUUUCUGUCAUUCACAUACGCUUCUAGCUCUAAAUUUAUUUCAUUAUGCACUGUGCCCCCCCAACUAACCUCAUUUUAGAUGUGCAUCCUCCUGCUCUUUCCCGCCCCUUUGUUUCUCUCUAAUGCAUUUGUUUAGUUUUCAGGACAUUCAUUAUGGUGGGUUAUAAACCAUUACAUGGAGUGGAUUGGGGGGUUUUAUUGCUCUGGUUUUUUUUUUUUUAGAUUUAUUUUGAGUGAAAAACUGUGCCUGCCUUAAAUUCUGACAAACAGAAUAGUAUCCAGCCAAUAAUCUUUGGUCUGUGUGUGUGUGUUUCUGUUGCAUCCAUCUGUCAGUCUGUGUAUGUGGAGUGUAUAUAAUAGUUGUCGGGCGAAAAUUACAGAG
ensembl:lncRNA